rnacentral:lncRNA from 1 species
GCCAGUCCAAGAUAUUCGCCGAGGCUGUUUUCUGAUGGGGGGCUGGUAUCGGUUGCAAGAACAAACGUCAUGCCAUCUGCGGAAUCAGUUGUGUUUGUGUAGGGUGAGAUCCUAAUGGUGAAGGUGGUACUAAUCAUAGCUGGCCAUGCAGUCACAGGCUGGCUGUAUAAAACCCGUCCAACCUUAUUUAGCGGCAGCUGAGCUGGUGAUUCUGGUAAAGGGUCUGAUGUGAGGCUUAAGUAGCCAUAACUUGGAGUCACUGCGCCCAUGCAAAUUAGGCUGCCAUCGCUACAACUUUUUGGGUUGAAUGAGGAAAAUGUGAAGCUAACAGGUUCAUCAUCAGGGAAUGAUGAAAAAGCUCCGCGAAGAAAAGCUGAGAGGAGUAGUAGGAAAAUCAUUUUUUGUUUUGGGAGGGCUACUUCUUGAAUGGCAUCACUCAGCUUCACAUGCGCUCAUUAUAUAGGGGACUUUAGGCUUUCUUUUUUAAUUUUUGUUUUUUAAUAAUUGUCGUUGUUGUUGUUAUUAUUAUUCUGUGUGUUAAGUUGAUAUUUUAAAGGUCACUCUCUAGUCUCUGACACAUCAUCCUUAUCUCUCUGUCUCACUCUUUUACCAUGACAAAAUCUUCUAUCUUCCGUCCUCUUUAGUCUUUCUUCUCUAUUCUUUUCCUCUAUUUUUUUCCCCCUUGUUGUCAUUACACAAUUUUUCUUUAUUUUUUUCAGUUCUCUGCAUCCUUUAUUUAUUUAUUUAUUUUGUAAAAGUAAAUCCUUAUUCUCCCCAUUAAAAAUCCUUCUAAAAGAAAACAAGCAAAAAAGAGUAAGUAACAUGUCAAAAUUGGUGGCUCAAUAAAAGCCACCAAAUUUUAUCAAGAAAUGCAGCACCGAAAUCGAUUUCUAGAUCUGCAUUGUUUUAAUUUUGAAACCCACAAUUGUGGACUUCUGUCUUCUUAGGCAAAAUUUUGCCAAUAAAUAGAAGCUCUCGUUUGAGAGUUUGGCAUCCUAUUUUGUGAGAAACAUUUCCCUAUUUGGAGAGUAAAGAAUUUUGAGAGCUUAAAAUAUAAAAGCUCUUGAGAGUUUUGUGAGUGAGAGUAUUAGAUGUAUUGGAGUUUUAAGUAAUGAGAUAAAAUACGAUAAUAUUUAUAUACUCCACAUCACUAGUAAAAUAUUUUUCUUUUGUCUUUGUCGAUGUACAUGGGCUAAAAGCCGGACCAUAUAAAUUUUGGUGUCUCUGUGUGAUUCUAUAAUCUUAAUAUUUAUCAAUUUUACUUUAGUUAUGUAUCUGCUUUACCCAUCAAUUUUCUAACAGUGGUAUUAGAGUAAUUCAUUGUAUUUUUUAAGUCAAGGUACUAUUAACAUAAACAAUAUUGUUCACGUAUGAGGCAUUGUUCACACAUAUGAUACUAUUCACAUACAAGGUUCACGUGAAACGGUGGGAGCGAUCCAAGAAUUUUGCAGUGCAAAGUAAAGAAUAAUGGUGUGAGUGAAGUAACCGUAUGGUUUUGUACAUGUUUAGGAAAGUUUUGUCACAAAGCCGACAAGAGCAUCAGGAGUCUGGGUUCUAAGUGGGAUCGUUGUGGCCACUCUAGUAUAUCCUAAAACUUUUCUGGUGUGCAUUUUUACACAUACGAUCACUUGAUACUAUUCAAGGUGGUACAUUAGCUUGUGUACGGUAUUUAUCAACAAAAUGGCAACAAAGUUUGAAAUUCAGAAGUUCAACGAAAGUAAUUUCUUAUUGUGGAAAAUGAUGAUGCGGGAAAUUUUGAGGAAAAAUAAUUGCUUCGAAGUAAUUGGGAAAACGUCUGUAUUAUCCAGCCCAAAAAACUAGUUUAUUGAGUGGAGUGACUUAUCCUCCUUAUAAACUCAAGUAUCUCUACUUUACUAGUCAAUGUUGGACACAAUCCAACAAUUUUUCUAACCUUAAAAACAAAAUUUGAAAAUUAUUUAAUGAACGACUGGUAAAAUACUGUUGUUCAAGUUUUUGGCAACGGCUGCAUGAGGUUCAAUCAAUGAUGCAUUGUACGAUAACCCUGAAAUAAAAGAAUUUAAAACGGCAUAAAAUUGUUCAAGUUAUUAUUAUUAUUAUUAUUAUUAUUAUUAUUAUUAUUAUUAUUAUUUCAUAGAUCAUAGUAAUAAUUAAUGAAAAAACAAAAUUACAGUCAUAGAAUAACAAUUACACCUAAUUUUAUUUGAACAACUAAUAUUAUAAUUUUUAAUUUAUCAUAAAAAUAUUUCAUUCAUAAUUUUUUUUGUGUAUAAAUAUGAAAAAUAUUUCACUCACAAAUGAAAUAUAUCUCCAUUAACUAUUGACUAAUUUACGACUUCAUAAAUGAAAUAUUGAUGUCGUAAAAUUUUUAAUUUAUCAUUUAUAAAAUCAUGGUAUUUAUAAUUUUAUUUAUUAAAAUCAUGAUAUAUAUUUGUUCAUUUAAUAAAUUAUAAACAUAAAAAAAUAGAAUAUUUAUUUAAACUAGGACUUAAAUUAAUUUUUAAAAUCUUGUGCUAAAAAAAUAUUAAAAAUUUUAAUUUAAAAAUAAUUGUAAAAUCAUAACAUUUUAUAUUAAUUUUUCACUAAAAAUUUUUAUUUUUAUAUACUUUGGCUCACGUGUUAUUGAUGGCCCAUGGGCCGCGUGUUAGCCUACCAACGAAGCGUGUUUAUUACGUGUUUUUUCGCGUGCCAUGUUUUGUCUCAUCUCUAAUUGUACAAUGCUUUUAAGGGUCACGUGCCUAAAAUUAUAGGCCCAGCACGGUCCACGUGCGUGCCAUGCCGUGCCGCAUGCCUUACCAAAAUGUGUUCAUGUCGUGUAGUGUUAUAUGGAUAUAUGUCGUGCCCGUAUCGUGCCAGGUGCUGCUCGGCCCAUUGGCCAUCUUUAUCCGACGCCGAUCAGUUAAUUAAUGUUGUGUACUGGUGUGUGUGUGUGUGUGAAAGGUCUAGGCACAUGGAUCUGAUGAGGCCUCUGGCCUACAAAGACGAGCAAAUCAUUAUAAAAUGACAAUGUCCAUACUCCAUACGAAGAGAUGAAGAAGCGUUAUAAUCUCGUGACUUUAAUUCAGUCCAUGCAAUCCGCAUCGUGAAUAAAGGGGUGACUCUUGGACCUCACACGUGGCAUGUUUGGUCACCUUGGAAAUUGUUGAUGACCACAUCUUGCAUGACGCCAAAGCAAGGGAACAUUGUGAUUCACUUAAAUAUUCACGUUUUUUUUUUUAGGCUAUUAGAUUUCAAUUUCAUAUACUCUUUAGGAUAAUAUGAUUUUCUGGACCUUGUGAACUAUAUAAUUUAGAAUUUUAGAUAAUUCAAUUGUACAUCGUGAGCGAUUUCUCUUUUUCACAUAUCAAUUCAAUUGUACGGCUUUAGGAUAACACAAUGGAGAUUUGAUUAGAACUCCAAAAUACAUCCAAUAAACGAAACGGGUUUGAAUAAUUUUACACAACAAUCUUACUUUUGACAAAAUAUUGAGUUACUUUCACAACACCUCUUCCACUUCCACAUACACGAAAGCCAAUCAAUAGCCCUAUCUAUAAUUAAGUCAUAUAAACUAUUUGGUGCUCCACGAAGAGUUUUAUUUCUCUGUUAAUAUGCAGUAAAAUCUCAAUGAAUACUAAAAUUUCGAGACUCUAAACAAUUUAUUAAUUGUGGAAAAUAUUAUAUAAUUAAUUAAAAGAUUAAUAAUUUACUAGUUUAUGAAGAUAUUUCUUAUUUUCAAAAAAUAUAUGAUCACAUUUAUAGCAUUGAUUUGUCUUGAUUUUAUAUUUAUUAUGUUUUAUUUGAAUAUUAGUUAAUUGUCUUACAUUGAUUGUAAUAAGAUUAUUAUAGACCUUUUAUUUUUUCAUGUUAAGAGUUAUAGCUGUACUAUAUAUGGAAUCCGUCUUGCGCGGAGAAACACUCAAAGUGAUAUUAACAUUGACCAAUUUCCAUUGCAAAAUGACGAUACCAAUUGAUUUUUUUUUUUUUGCAUUAAAAAAAAUAGAGAUGAGAUUCAAGUCAAAAUUAAAUCCAAAAAGAAUCUAAAAGUUUUAAGAGCACAUCUCACAAAAACCACGUAUACAUAUAUUAUAUGACUUAAUUUUAUAUUAGGGUGAUUAUUAAUUUAUAUAUUACGUGCCUCCUGUGGAAUCACAUGGAUUUUUAAAAAUAUUAAUUUAUAGAUUUUAUUGAAUUAUUAACACGUUGGCCCUAAGUCGGAAAUAACAAAAAUUAUUAUUUAAUUGAGAUUUUUAAUUUAUUGACCAUUAAUUUUUUAAGAUUGUACUGUAAUUAGUUGGUCUUUUUUCAAUGCAAAAUAAAUUGACAAAUCAUAUAAAUGAGGUGACAUAUGGCUUACCACAAUUUCUUUCUUAAUUAAUUUAUCGAGGAUAUGAUAAAAGCAAAAUGAAAAGAUGAUCAGCUCUAAGGCCUAAUUUAUACAAAAUGUUUAAUGCUUUGAUAACAUAAAAAGUAAGUAAUCAUCAUCGUAAAUUAGGGAUUCAUCUUCCAAAUAUAUAUGCAUGUUAUAUUGGCAAUGAUUUUGCCAUAGAUAAAUGUCAUUAUGGAUAUUAGCCAAAUAUAUCUUGAUUAAGAAAGAAUCUUUGAUGUGCAUUCUUAUCACAUAUUUCAUAUUUAUUAUCCAUGAAAGUAUGCACUACGCUAUAAAUGUAUGAAUCCAGAUUUUUACUAAAGUUGACACUGUUAAAUUUUUUUGUGAAUUUGAGAGUUCACGAUGUUGUGAACCACUAAAUUUACACACUAAUUCGUGCGGAUAUCUGCAGGAGGGAAGGACUGUCCAUGUAAAUAUCUGUUGUGAUGCGUACAUUGUUUCCAUGUAUGGUUGAAUUUUCAUUUUAUGAUUUCCACUAUGAGAAGAGAAUUUUGGUCGGAUAAAGAAGAGAACGAGGAAAAAGAAAAAGAAGACAUCAAAAGUUCAAAGCUGCAACGUAAUCAAUAGAAGCUGAAUAUGAACAUUUCUACACAAGUACAUGCAGAACAUCUCAGAUAGCAAGCCAACAAUAUUAAUCUUAGUCAGCUUCUAGAGCCAUGUCACUUUAUUGACGAUAUUAGUUAUUUUUAUUUAUUAUAAUUUAUGUGACAUGGUUUUUCAAGGACGGUUUAGAAUUUUAUAUUGGCAUCGCCAGGUUUUGCUCCUCCAGAGAAGAAGAAGGCAAUGGGAACGUUGUGAAGGUCCAAUCAAGCACCUGAUGGCUUUCUGAAAAGUCGGGCCCUGUGGAUGCUGUGAAGCCAACAUAGACUGAGCUUGGAAGGCGAAGCCCGCCAACAAAAAUGGAAGAAAAACGGAAACCCACUUGAUCGAUCAUUUUUGUCUUUUCUAUAUAUGCAGUAAAGGUGUGUUUGGUAUUGUUUUUCAGCUGUCGUUCUAUUUUUUACAAAAACAAAAAACAAGAAAACAUGUUUGCAGGCUGUUUCGUAACCGUAGAAGGGGAAAGUUAGGAGGCAUAAAAAAAAAAAAAAAAAAAAAAAAAAAAGGCACUGCGUCAGUAUGUUAUUGUUUCCAUUGGGCCCAAUCGAAAUCAUUUACUUUGAUCAAUUUUGAUUUUGUGUUGGAGUAAAGAUGGUGUUGGAUUGAAGUGAACGAUAUAAAAACAGGCAUAAAAUUGACACGUACAGUCAAUCUCAAUUGGUAAAUAUCUGUUUAAAGAAUUUGGAAUAAAACAAUCACUAAAUAGUGUACGCAGCCUGUAAACAACUUGCAACAAUAUUUACAGUAAAUAGAGCAAAUUUUUGGUUUAUGCAAUUAACAGUGCGAAACAAUUAAGUGUAGUGUGAGAGCAAAUGUAAAGGUGCCUGAACAAGUCAUCCGUAUUUGGAGCAACAAUAAAUAAAAUAAAUAACUCUGUUCGGUGGAAGCAGGCUGAAAAUAACCCAACUAAGCCACUAUAAUUUAGAAGGGGAAGUAAGGCUGCUUGUAUCGUGAGUGAUUGGAUUGUUGAUUAAUUAUUUUUGAAGUCUCAAAACUUGGUUUCCUUGAAGAUCAUCAUGGAAAACUAACGUUCACAAAUUAGUUUGGCAAGUUGGCUUGUUAAUGUAUGAAGGAGAAAAAAAGUAGCCAAAUUAAUGGCUAACGUUGAUGGGAAGACCAUCAAAUUUUCAGAAAUUUUUUCAAAAUCUAGACCCCAGGGUUUUCCAUUCCAAAAAAUAAAAAAUAAAAAAUCCGAAGCUCUUUCUCUUGUGCUAGAUUUUGCAACCGAUGCAGUCUUGACCUCUCGUAAUUAUACCGAUACUUUUUUUGUGUACUUCUAAUUCCAACUACUUCCAGUAAGCAGCAAUAUCUUGACUCUUGAGACUGUUUUUAGGAGUCCUUCACUCAAGUAUAACAAUUAUUCUUGAAAGAUUGAUAAUUAGUCUUUGACUUUGUGUGUUUAACCACGGAUAAUUUUUUGGCUUUUGACCUUUUCACCCUCAUCUUCAAUUCGUCUUCAUCUUCAUCAACAGAACUAACUCAAAUGGUAUCACAUUUCUACUAUGUGUAUCACGUUUAAAACUAUAUCCUUUGGAUUAUAUAAGUUCAAAUCCAACGAUCAUUUCAAAUGGGGAUAGAAAAUGGAGUACCUUACCACCACGGUUAAGGCAGCUGGACCUAUAUGUAUUAUGGUAAUUUAUAAAUAUUUUUAUUACUAAUUUCAAUUGUAAUUUAUUUUAAUUAGAUUUGUAAUGAUAAUAGGAAUAUAAAAAAGCAUAAAAACUAGAUGCAUUGCAGAGCAAAAAAUAGAAAUUAAUAUAUUAUAAAAAAAUUUCACCAAACACAUUUCUAUUAUUUUGAUAUUUUCAAACAAACUACCAAACUUACCUUUUACAUUUUUUUCUUUUUCAUUUGACAUCUUAUCUUGAAAACAAAAUACCAAAUGCCUUUCCCUUUUAAGAACAUCACAUCAAAAAUAUCAUUUUUCUCUUCUAAAAAAUUUUAAAAAAAUACAAAAUAAUAAUAAUAAUAAUACCAACCACACUCUAAAGGUUUUGUAAUUUGCAAUAUCUGACACAGAUCAAUGAAUUAAGAUUGUAUGUGUUCGAGGGAGAUGAUAUGUGAUGGAGCUUUGGCCUAUAAAGACAAGUAAAUCAUUGGAAAAUGACAAAAAUGACAAUGUCUUUAUGAAGACAUGAAUACACGUGAUAAUCUCGUGACUUUAAUUUAGUCCAUUCAAAUCGCAUAAUGAAUAUAGGGGAGACAAAGUCUGUGUUCUAGGGAGAUGAUAUAGUAAUAAGCUUAUUAUAGAGUUUUUAUUUUUCCAUGUUAAGAAUGAUGGUUGUACUUUGGAAUCCAUGUUGUACAAAGAAGAACUCAAAGUAAUAUUAUUAUAAAAUAAUUUCUUGUUGCAAAACAACAAUACAAUUGAACUUUUUUGUACGUUAAGAAAAUUAGAUAUGAGAUUUAAGUCAAAAUUCAUUCCAAAAAGAAACUAGCAAUUUUAAGAGUGUAUUUUACAAAAACCAUAUGUACAUAUACUAUGUCGACUUAGUUUUAAAUUAGGUGAUUGUUAAUUAAUGUAUAACGGGUAUCCUAUGGAAAAAUAUGGAUUUUUAAAAAAUAUUACCUUACAGAUUUUAUUAAAUUAUUAAUAUAUUGGCCUAAAGUCGAAAAUAACAAAAAUUAUUAUUUAAUCAAGAUUAAUUUAUUAAUAUCGUACCGUACUUAGUUGGUCUUUUUUCAAUGCAAAAUAAAAUGACAGAUCAUAUAAAUGAAGUGACAUGUGGCUUACUUCAAUUUCUUUCUUAAUUAAUUUAAUGAGGAUAUGGUAAAAGCAAAAUAAAAAGAUCAUUAGCUCUAAGGCCUAAUCUAUACAAAAUGAUUAAUAACAUAAAAGUAAGUGAUCAAUCAUCCUAGCUGUAUGGUUGGGAUUCAUCUUCCAAUAUAUAUGUAUGUUAUAUUGGCAAUGAUUUUGCCAUAUAUAAAUGUCAUUAUGGACAUUAGCCAAAUAUAUCUUGAUUUGGAAAGAGUCCUUUAUGUGAAUUCUUAUCACAUAUUUCAUAUUUAUUGUCGAUAGAACUAUAGACUAUGCUAUAGAUGUAUGAAUUCAUAUUUCUAAUCAAGUUUAUAUUGUUAUAUAGAUGUAGAGAAAAAUUUUGGACGUCUGCACGAAUUUAAUUUCAUUUGAAUUUAGAAGUUCAUAAUAUUGUGAAACUCUAAAUUUGUCCAAUAAUUCAUGGGGACGUUCGCAGUAGAAAAGGACUCUAAAUGUAAUUAAUAUUUGCGGCAAUGCAUACAUUGUGUCCCAUGGUUAAAUUUUUAUUUUAUGGUUUCCACUGUGAGAAGAGAAUUUUCGUCCCAUAAAGAAGAGAACGAGGAAAAAGAAAAAGAAAGAAGUUCAAAACUGCAGCGUAAUCAAUAGAAGCUGACAUGAACAUUUCUACACAAGUACACACGGUAAAUCUCAGAUAGCAAGCCAAAGAUAUUAGUCGUAGUCGCUGCUAUCAUUUUAUUCCAUAUUUAUACAGGAGCCAUGUCACUUUAUUGAUGAUAUUAUUAUUUAUUAUAAUUUUUAUAUGACAUGGUUCUUCAAGGCUAGUUUAGAAUUAUAUUGGGAUCGCCAGGUUUUGCUUCUUGAUAGAAGAAGGCGGCAGCGGGAAUGUUGUGAAGGUCCAAUCAAGCACCUGAUGGCUUUCUGCUCUCCCGAGCCCUGUAGAUGCCGUGAAGCCAACAUAGACUGAGCUUAGAACUGUUUCUGAGAUGACAAUAGGUCUUUCAAUCAACUUCUGAAGUGGGUUCCCCGCAUAUGCCACAUAAACAUAGAGUAUUUUCGUCACUUGAACCUGGAUCGGUCUUCCACUUUUGAGAUCAAUGCCAAAGCUGUCGAGACUCUUAGCUGGAUCUGAUAUUAAGCUUGCUAUGUCGAUGCCGAUAUGGUUAUUAUCUGGAUCAUUUUUAUUUUUGUUCUUGAAUGUGUCCAGCUCCACGGCUAAUAUCGAACCAUUGUUACCUACAUAUAUAAUUUGCAUAUGCAUUAUAUAGAUAUAAAUAAAUAUAUAUAUAUAUAUAAUUAUCUCAAGAAGGUUUCCGCACAUUAUUUGGUGAGGGUUCCCCACCAUAUGCUACUAUUACAACACCCGCCAUAUGGUAUAACAACAUUUCUUCAUUUUAAUAAAGCGUAGAACUCUCAUUAUAUAGUUCUUCUUCAAUAAGAAUAUUUUUAUUUUGUUAAAGUGAAAAUAUUACUAAAAUAUUUAAAAAUAAUAAUAUAUUAGAUACUGUGUUUUUUUAUCUGAUAAUUUAGUAAAAUAUGUAUUUUUUGUCUAUUAAUGACAUCCAUAGUUUAUUAAAACGAGGUUGUAUUCAAUAAUAAUAAUAAUAAUAUACACGCAUAUAUAUCAUCAUAUUGUUUAUCAGUACUGUUAUUAUAUAUAUUAUUCGCCUAUGCAAGCAUCAAGUAUGUGUCAGUACUUUAUCUGUGUUAAUUCUUAAUUAUUCACAUUUGAUCAUCAUACCCGAUGUAGUCAGUUCAAGAUUUCCGAAGCCGCUGUUUGGUGGUGAAGGGCUGCUAUCGGGUGUAAGAACAAACGUCAUGACUUCUGCCGAAUCCGUUGUAUUUGGGUAGGGUGAGAUCCUAAUGGUGAAGGUGGUACUAAUCAUAGCUGGCCAUGCAGUCACAGGCUGGCUGUAUAAAACCCGUCCAACCUUAUUUAGCGGCAGCUGAUCUGGCGAUUCUGGUGAAGGGUCUGAUGUGAGGCUUAAGUAGCCAUAACUUGGAGUCACUGCGCCAAUGCAAAUUAGGCUGCCAUCG